rnacentral:lncRNA from 1 species
UUUUAUACUCCAUACCCAUUGGACAAAGAAUUUUCUUCGCAUCAUAAUUACGAGUGGGCAGUUUAUUUCCAUCUGGCAACAUUUCAUUCAACAACGUCAACAGUUCUGUAAAACUCUUAUCAGUCCAUCCAUUGCUCGCCUUCAAAUUCAUGAGCCUUAACACCGCUGANAAACGUGUGAACUUAGUUGAACCGACAUACAAAGGUGUUUCCGCAUCAAUCGACAUCGUCUCAUACACGUGAGCUUUGG